rnacentral:rRNA from 1 species
UACGUAGGGUGCAAGCGUUAAUCGGAAUUACUGGGCGUAAAGCGUGCGCAGGCGGUUGUGCAAGACCGAUGUGAAAUCCCCGGGCUUAACCUGGGAACUGCAUUGGUGACUGCACGGCUAGAGUGUGUCAGAGGGGGGGUAGAAUUCCACGUGUAGCAGUGAAAUGCGUAGAGAUGUGGAGGAAUACCGAUGGCGAAGGCAGCCCCCUGGGAUAACACUGACGCUCAUGCACGAAAGCGUGGGGAGCAAACAGG